CGGAUAUGUUCGAAAGGAAUUAUCUUCAGAACGGAACAAAAUGACUGGCUCUUUGCUUUCACACAAUGGUCGGAAAGAAAAGAACGGAAGAAAAGCGCGGAAAACGAGCGAGCUAUGCGCAUCGCGAAUGUUUUGACUCGAAGCGAGUACUCGUGAGCCUCGAAUGAGCGAAGAACUUGUGUCCCCAUUUAUUCCUGCAGCUGCGACUGCAAAAUCAGUGCACGGUUCGCCGACUAGAGGCCACGACUCGUGUCAGGACACCGAGGUCGUGCUUACGACCCCUCUUUCUUCGAUGGUGUCGUUGCCCGACUAUGUGCGCAAAGACGAGCAGAAAAACGAGGAAAUGAUGGAAAUUAUACACGUGAGAACAGAGAUCUACAUCUUAUUUGCAUGGAAACCUAACGAGGCAUUGGUGGUCACGUGAGCAGAGCCCAUUCUUCAAACCAAAGAAUGAGACGGCUCCAGAAAAAGGGGGACGCUUCGUUUUCUCGAACGAACAAAACCACAGCCGGUAAAACGGCGUAAAAUAGAAAAGACCUGGAACAAAAUGGAGCGAUCUAACAGCCUGCAGGAACUUAGCAUUGAAGUUACGUGCUAAUAAUGAUAAAUAUCAAGAAUGGAUAUGGUGUAAAAUUUAUCGUGGUUUUUAAAUGGCAGCGGAAAUUAUCCUUUUAAAAAUCUUUUUCAAAUAAUAAUUAUAACUAUGUGAUUUACUUUUUAAGACUUGAUGCAAUUUUUUAAAACUUCAGAAACUAUUAUGUUGAAGUUAUCUGAUAACAAUGAUAAAUCAGGAUUAGGUAUGAUGUAAGACGUUACUGCGGUUCGUAAGUGGCAGCGGAAAUUAUCCUGGUCCUAUCCAAGAUAGAUAUCGUGGUGGUCGACGAUUAAUCAAAACACGACACCGUUCACGAGGAGAACCCAUAUUCAAUUACCACAAAAUUAUCCUUACAUAUUAAGAUCGUUGAGAUCUGCUAACUGUAUUCCCAAGUUCCUUCUAUGAGUUAGGCUAACGAUCGAGAGAAGUGGAUUAAUAGGCAUAGAUCCUGUUAAUUAGAAAACAAUAAACUGCAAGAAUUACCAUGAAAAUAACAGUAUUUAAGUAAAGAAUCUCUUUCUUUCAAUUAUACUUCAAUUAUACAAUUUCUUUUGAAUGAAUUCUAUUAGAUAUUCACUUGAAAUCAACUCAAAUACUUUACUACACAUAAUCAAGUCAAAUAAUUUCAUUUAUAUGAAUAUAUCUAUAAAUCAAAAGUAUAUAAAAUAAGUCAAGUUAAACUUAAAAUUCAAGAAGAAAAGAAUCGGUAAUAGGUUUAUGCGGAUCGACAUGGGUACCCGGGCACCGUCGCCAACGAGAGGAAAGGACGAGGCACCGAAGGCUCCAGGGCAACCACGACGAGUCUCCGAAUCCGAUGUGCGCUCCAGCCCGAUCAAUAACACGGGGCGUGCACCACACCGAGCCACCCUCUUCCUUCUUGCCAGCCAGGGGUCCUCGUUUGGUACCCCGGCUGACCUUCGAAAUUACCGAUCUAUCGUAUAUAUACAAUCGUUUCACAUUUUAAUCUUUAUUUUCUUUUUCUUCUACUUGUUAUAUAUUUCACUUAAAAAUGUAUAUUAUUCAUAUCUUUGGAAACAGAGGUUACUUGGAAUUUUCUUGCCAGAGACAACGCCCUCUUAGAUUCUGGAAGCAUUGUUAUUCUAAGAGAAGAAUUUAUUUUGAGAGUAAGCACGACGCCACACGAUAUUCGAAGGGUCGAAUGCCGUUCGAGGACCGUUUCACUGUCGGCGACCCGUAUUUACGUACGAAGUGGCUGCCACUCGAUCCCGAAAUAAGUCCUCGCGCGCAGGCUGCGCACCCUAAUUCACUGGCCAGGCUGAUAUGCGCGUUAACGCCGCCAAUGGUUUUAAGCCCGAUGCUCGCACGCCUCGAAAUAGAGAUUAAAAAGCGACGCACGCAUGAGAAACAGGAGAAAAAUGACGAGCUAUGCACGAUUAUCGAGGAUAUGCGCUUGCCAAGUUCGAAAUCCCCGCCUUUUUCAGGUCGGAUAGAAAGACCAAUUUGUCAUUGGUUAUCGGAAGCAAGAAUAUUUUCGAAAGUAACGCAUAGAUAAUUUUUUUGAGAACGGUGGGAAUAUUUUUGAGUUAUGAAAGUGGAAAGUGGUUUAACACGUUCGCCACGUAUAAGGUGUCUUGAAUUCGAGUUGUAAUAUAUUUUAAAGUACAGUCGAUCGUGAAAGUCUUUGUGUAUUAUCUCGCAAAAAUUCAUUUUGUUAAUGAAAAUUUUUUUUAUGAUAUAUAGAUAAUAGAUUAUACGCAGAGAUUGGAAUUUUUUUCUCUUUUUUAAAUAUAAUUUUGUUUAGAAAUAUUUUUUGCAAU